GCCGGGAAGUGGAAAAAAGAGGGCAUAAGAGCAGUGGGAGUGGGAACAUGGAGGAAAGCCUAACUUGCUUUGUUUCAUCUUUAGUGUUGGAGGUGGGAACUUGCUUGGUGUUUCCCAAUGGCUCUCAUUCCUAUUGUUCUCAAGCACUCCUCCCUCUUCCUUUUUUGG
rnacentral:pre_miRNA from 1 species